rnacentral:lncRNA from 1 species
UGCAAAGGAAGACAAAAACUAAUUUUCUAUUUUUUGCUUUAGAAGUGCAUACAAGAAGAAAACAAGUCUUAAAGAAGCACCACCUACAACAAAAACAAAAGCCUAAUAUUAAUAAGUCUAAAAGUACUUGUAGAGCUUGUAGAUAGAAAGUUCACUGAUAAGAUAAUGUAAAAUGUCCUAAAAUAAAUAACAAUGGUAUAGUGUCACGGCCAUAAUCAUGUAAGCUAAUAAUUACAUAUAGAAAUAGGUAGAAGUAAAUAAAAGUAGGUAAAAGUAAGUUAAUUCUAUAAUAUUUAAUAUA